rnacentral:rRNA from 1 species
ACGGAAGGCAGCAGUGGGGAAUCUUCCGCAAUGGGCGAAAGCCUGUCGGAGCAACGCCGCGUGAGUGAAGAAGGUCUUCGGAUCGUAAAGCUCUGUUGAGAGGGACGAGAGAUAACUUCAGGAAAUGGGAGUUAGAGGUCGGUACCUUUCGAGGAAGCCACGGCUAACUACGUGCCAGCAGCCGCGGUAAUACGUAGGUGGCGAGCGUUGUCCGGAAUUAUUGGGCGUAAAGGGAGCGCAGGUGGGAAAGUAAGUCAGUCUUAAAAGUGCGGGGCUCAACCCCGUGAUGGGAUUGAAACUACUUUUCUUGAGUGCAGGAGAGGAAAGCGGAAUUCCUAGUGUAGCGGUGAAAUGCGUAGAUAUUAGGAGGAACACCAGUGGCGAAGGCGGCUUUCUGGACUGUAACUGACACUGAGGCUCGAAAGCGUGGGGAGCGAACAGGAUUAGAUACCCUGGUA